CCUACGGGAGGCAGCAGUGAGGAAUAUUGGUCAAUGGACGCAAGUCUGAACCAGCCAUGCCGCGUGCAGGAAGACGGCUCUAUGAGUUGUAAACUGCUUUUGUACGAGGGUAAACGCAGAUACGCGUAUCGGUCGGAAAGGAACGUACGAAUAAGGAACGGCUAACUCCGUGCCAGCAGCCGCGGUAAUACGGAGGAUUGAAGCGUUAUCCGGAUUGAGUGGGGUUAAAGGGUGCGUAGGCGGUCGGAUAAGUCAGAGGUGCAAUCCAGAGGCUCAACUUCGGAAUUGCCUCGGAUACUGUUCUCCUAGAGAGUAGUUGCGGUAGGCCGCAUGUCUGGUGUAGCGGUGAAAUGCUU
rnacentral:rRNA from 1 species